CAAGUACUCUCUCCGUCCGGAAUUAAUUGUCAUCAAAAUGGAUGUGUCUAGAACUAAAAUACAUCUAGAUACAUCCAUUUCAAUGACAAGUAUUUUCGGACGGAGGGAGUACAAA
rfam:Triticum aestivum genome assembly, contig: Triticum_aestivum_CS42_TGACv1_scaffold_218227_3AS